AUCCCAGAGGGCUGCUCCAACCCUAAUGGUUCUGGGGUGCUCUGAGGAGGAGGAGGAGGAGGAGGAGGAGGAGGAGGCCUGGCCAAGGAAACCCUGGGCUCAAUACAGGAGAGGUGGAGGCUGAGGUGGCCUCCACUCCUGAGGCAGGCGGAUGGGGCUUGCUUCGCAAACAGCCCGGGCACUGCGAUGCGGAUGAAGAUGCCCAAGUUGGGCCAUGAAGCGACACCAGCCCCCGGCAGGCACAGCCCAGGCUGCAGCUUCUCCCCCAGCCUCCCACAGGAGGCCCAGGUCCGCAGGAGAGGCCACUAUCUGCCUGCCCACAUCAGCUGGGAGCAAGGCCAUACCCCAACACCCUGUGCUUGGGCUGUCCCCGAGGGAGAUCAGGGAAAGAAAGAAAAAUCCUGCCAUGGGAAUUUGGGAGAGACUGCCCAGAACAUAAAGAGGUCCCACAGAGCCCACUCCACGCGAUGCCCGUGGGGCUGAGUGCUGCUCUCCGGUUCGCAGCAAGGCACGGUCUUCCUCUUCAUGGCUCCUACAAGUCCUCAUUAGGGCGUGCAAAUGAGCUGCAGACUCGGCUUCAUUGACUCGGAUGUAUUUUCCCUCCUCUAUCCGCAGGGGGGUUUGCAAUCAAUGGUUCUUGAGAGGGUCUCGCUGCCGGGUGUCGUGGUGAUGUGGCUCCCCGCUGGGGCAUUUCUCAGCACCAACCCCAGCGCCAGGGAGCAGAACAGAGCUCAAAGGGAACACCGGGUGAAGAAACAGCAGCACACCCCUGGGGAGAGGCAGGUUAAACAGCUCUCAGUGCAACGUGGGUGCACAGCUGGUUCCACGGAUGUGCUUUGGGGACUGCAGACCUCCAUCCACAUCCAAGACAGGGCAGCGACCUCUGCAAAGCGAGAACAGGAUCAGACCUUUGGGAAGCAAGAAGGUGCCCUCUGAAUCAGCUCCGUGGAAGGUUUCAAAGCCCAGCCCUGUCCAGCCGCAGUGGUGAUGCUUCUCAUCAUCUCCCUAAAGCACAUCGCAACAGCCGCUAAUAAAAUAUAGAUACGGGUAAUGGGCACAAA